AUGCAAUUAUUUUUUUUUUUAAAGAUUGGCACCUGAGCUAACAACUGUUGCCAGUCUUUUUUUUUUCUUCUUUAUCUCCCCAACUUCCCUCCUCCCCGCCCCCCUCUACAUGCUUGUAUAUCUUAGUUGCAGGUCCUUCUAGUUGUGGCUCAUGGGACGCUGCCUCAAUGUGGCCUGACGAGUAGUGCCUUGUCCGCUCCCAGGAUCCAAACCCUGGGCCACCACAGCAGAGCGCGCAAACUUAACCACUUGGCCACGGAGCCGGCUCCUGGAUAUACAAUUAUUACACAUGUGUAUGAGUUAGAUAAAUAUGUGAUACAGACAUUCGUGAGGCUUUUCCUCUUUGGGGAUUUUGGAAACUAAAAUGGGAACAGGAGCAUUAAAAAGAGGUGUCCUGGAUGUUCUGGUUCACUACAAACAUUCUUGAAAAGUAAAAUUCUUAGGAAAGUAAUUAAGGACUAUAGGUAAUUCUUUAAACUUUAAGGUCUACUUGGUAUUAGAAAUUAACGUCAAGUCCUUCAAGAUUAAUCACACUGUGUUCAGAGGACUAUUCUAGGCAUUGCGGAGUCAGGAAAAUAUAAAAAACUGUUUCUUAAAGGAGUCUACAAAAUAGUCAUGAGACUAUAGCAGUUUUCCAGGAUUUUUCACUUCAUAGUGUAUAUGGGAAAUGAUAUUUCUAAGGCAUUCUGGGAGAAACGGAUGAGGCUGCUGGCCCACUGACCCAUAAGCGUUGAGGGGAUUACUAUCUUGGUACACCUUAAACCUGUUUAGGAAGGUUUGGUAUGGAUAACACAUAUAAAAUACUUAAGACUAUUUACAAGAUAAACUUCCUGCCUAACUUAGGUGGCUUUUAAAGGGAUGCCAAGCCAAGAAAGGCUCCCUGGAAAGGAUGAAUUUAAAGUGUAUUUCGGCACACUGCUGUUUUUUGUAAAUAUGCAUGUACUGGUAGGCAAUAAAUCCUGUUCUGUCUCAGUGAAGUAUGAAAAUACAGAUAACAGGUUUAGCUCCCUCUGAUAUGUCAUGGGUUGAAUGGCGUUAUCUAGUUGAAAACUAAAUCUAAGUUUUUUUUUUUUUACACAUCAUAGUACAAAAUGAAAUCAACACAGAGGGUAAAAUUAGAAAUAAGUGUUCUUAUAAAACUAGAAUAUGGUUAUAAAAUACUAAAACAUUUUUAUCCCCAGUUUUGGUAUAAUCUAAGAAAAUUGUGCCAGUUUUAACAUAUAGUGUUAAAAACUAUGAAUUUUCAUUCUUUUGUAGUGUGACUCUUGGAAAGCUAACAUCUUUUCAUGCAAACUGUUCAGAGAGCAUACAUAUCACAGAUGUCAAAUCAGCCAGUCAUUCUGAUAAUGAAUCCUCACGACAUGAAAUUAAAGCUCUGAUUAAUAGAAGACUCUUAGGGGAAAAGUUGGUUGGUAUGUCUUAGAAGAUGGUUUCUUGGGGAAGUUUGUAAAGCCCAGCUCUUAAACCAAAUAAAAAUCCAAGGUGUUCUUAUUAAAAGGAUCCCCCUAAAAGUCUUGUUAACUAAACAGUAAAAAUCUUUGACGCCGCCUUUGGCUUAAGUUUUGUGCUGCAAACUUGUCAACUUAGCAGAUUCUGAACACUGAUGCAGGUCUCUUCCAGACUUCUACUUGAAAAUCAGGGCCGGCCUCUUUUUCCCAAAGGAAUGCUAAAGAGAAACACCAAGGAGCUACAGAUCUCUUAGGAAUAAAUUAGACACUUAGGGAAGAUGUCUGUUCUUUUAGAAUGCACAGGAAAAUAGAGGAGACCAGUGUUCCAGGACACUGAAAGUAUCUCAAAUGAGGAAAAACCAAAAUCUUUUUUAAAAAGGAGAAGAUAAUCCUGCUUGUGUGCACUCAUUUCCCCCUUAUUUUGGGGCUUUACGAGGGAGAAAGAGAAAUAAAAAGGAAAUGCCAGAGACUUGUAUUUGCAAAAUCUUAAGCCAGUCUAAACGUCCAGCGACCGAGAAUCAAGCAGAUGCUGUGGUUUGUUAACACUGGGAUAGUUUACAGCUUUUAAAAACUCAUGAGCUGGAGCUUCACAUAGCAACAUGCUAUAAAUGUGGAGAGAAAAAAACAAGUUGCAGAAAGGUAAGUACAAUUUUGAGUGUAAGUUUAAAAACCUCUAAAACGUAUUUUCUUGUUUUCUGUACAGCUAAGGUAUAAAACGUGCAAGGGAGUAGAAAAUUCAGGAUAGUGUGUGUGUGGGAGGAACCAGGGAAUGGGGUUGGGGAACAGUAUGGAAGGAUUUGGUUGUAUCUGAAAACUUGUUUCUUAACCUGGGUCUUAGGCAUACAAGUGUUCAAGUGUUCAUUACAACAUUCUCAAUUUUUUUAGUGUCUCAUGUAUUUUGUAACUUAAAAUACUAUACAACUUAUGUCGACAUUUGGAACUCUAUAAAAGGAAAUAUGUACAAAAAUCGACUCAAGUGAAGGUCGUAAAAUGGCAAAGGUCAUGAUCGUAGGAAAAAUUGAAUAGGGCAUUUAUUAAUACUUCUUUAAAAAGCCAUUAGACCCAUAUUGUUUUAUAGUGAAUUUUAUCAAACUUUUCAUAUACAGAUCAUUUCUGUGUUGUAGAAAUUAUUUUAGAUGGCAGAAAAAGAUGGAAAUCUAUUUUAUGAGCCUGGCAUAACCUUAAAUAAGAAAAGCAGCAGAAAGGAAAACUAUCGAUGGAACUCUGUAAAGUUAAGCACAAUUCCUUAGUACGGUGUUAACCAAAGCAUACUCCGGUAUGACCAAGUAGGGUUUAUCUCUGGAAUGCAGUGGUGGUUCCUUGUGAGCACACCUAGUCGCGUAGCUCACUACAUUAGCAUAUUAAAGGAGAGAAACACAUCAUCCUCUUGGUAAAGCAUUUUGUAAAAUUUUAUACGCAGUCCUGAUUUUAAAGGCAUCAUCUCAGCUGAGUAGGGUAAAGAUUAAUUACUCUGUGAAUGGUAAUGGGACAAUAGAGCAGCCAGCUGGGAAAAAAAAUUGGAUCCACACCUCACACCUUACACCAAGUUAAAAUUGGAUCCAAGAUUUAAUGUUAUAAAUUCUCAAACGUUUUUAAAGAAAUAACAGUUUUUAAAUAAUUUUAGAAUGAUGGAGUAUUAGAAGACCUUUCUAAGACAAAACCCUCAGAGUCCAUACAAUAAAAAUUAAUAUAUUUGAUUUCAUAAAAAUAAAGAUUGUCUACAUGGCUUAAAAUGCUCUAACCUAAGUCAAAAGACAAACCACUCAGAGGAGAAAACGUACUUGCAACUUAUUUGACAAAUGGUUAAUUUUGCUAAUGUCUAAUGAGCACCCACAACCCGAUAAAUGAGUCCAGUAGAAAGUGGAGCAGCAGAUUCUAUGAAGCCUGAGUCCCGGACAUCAUGGAGAGCCUUGCCAGUCUUGGACUGCCUCGUUGGACUUUUGUUGAGAAAUAAACUUGCAUCUUGUUUAAGCCACUGCUGUUCAGGGCAUUUUUAAAAAAUCACUUACUUCUGCCUCUCAUCCUGCACAGAAUUUGGUACUAGAAGUGGUGUCCUACAAGUAACAAAACCUAAAAUGUAGCAUUGGCUAAAGGCAGCGUACAUCAACAUAUGAAUACAGUACAAUGUGCAAACUGCACUCGGGUGUAUUUAUCAGCUCUGACCCCAGGAACCAAAUGCCAGUGACACCUCCUAAUCCUUGUGACAAUCAAAGAUAACCCCCUAGGGGCCGGCCCCGUAGCCAAGUGGUUGGGUUCACGAGCUCCAUUUCAGCGUCCCAGGGUUUCACCCGUUUGAACCCUGGGUGCGAACAUGGCACCACUCAUCAAGCCAUGCUGAGGCGGCAUCCCACAUGCCACAAGUAGAAGGUCCCACAACUGAAAAUGCACAACUUGGUACCGGGUGGCUUUGGGGAGAAAAAGGAGAAAUAAAAUCUUUUUAAAAAAUAACCCUAGAGGAAGGGAGUAUGCUCCACUGGCUAAAAGAAUUCAGUAGGGCAAAGAUGUUGCAGGCUCAAAGCUGGUGACCUUUGUUAGGCCAUGACAAAAUAUUGAAAUUCUAGCUUACACACCUUGGAAAGUAGAAUGACAUGGCUUUAGUAAUAGGAAAGAUGGCAGGGAAGAUUCAGAACGGUGAGCUGUGCCCUGAGGCUGAACGUAGCUAAUCUACAAGCUGAGGUGAAAGUUGUAAGGAAGGGGUUAUCCGCUCUACUGAAUCGUUCCCCUGUCUGAGGUGCUUAAGGAGAGCCAAGUCGAAUUUCUGGCGAUAUCAAAUAUGGGGACG
ensembl:lncRNA